GGCAAUUGUAUUGUUAGCUGAGCACCAGUUGGCAGGUGAUUAGCAAUUGCAUUAUAGACGUAUAUAUGUACGUAUGUAUAGUUAUCAUCACAUUUUUGUUUUUGUUUUCUUUUUCUGUCUCAGUAAAUAGUUUUUAUCUCAACCUAUGAGUCCUAUUUUGUUUCCAAUUCUUUUCCUUGUCCCAGUUUCACAGGGGAAUUAAGAGAACAGCUUUGUGGUGUUUUGUUGCCUGCUGGGUUAAACUGAAACAUUCUACACAGCAACCUGCCCUGAGAAGACACAGAGAAUCCAUGGUCCCAGUGGGUGUUUUGAGAUGAUCUUUCUCCAAAAUAUCGAAGUUUCCUGGAACGCUUAAGAGAAUCAUUGCAAAUUAACAGUUUUAACAGAUAAGCAGACGCAUGGUGUUUUUGGACACAAAACUUACAUAGUUUGACCUGAUCCGGUAG
ensembl:lncRNA